AUUGAACGCUGGCGGUAGGCUUAACACAUGCAAGUCGUGCGAGAAAGUAUCUUCGGAUAUGAGUAGAGCGGCGGACGGGUGAGUAACGCGUAGGAAUCUACCUAGUAGAAGGGGAUAGCCCGGGGAAACUCGGAUUAAUACCGUAUACCUCCUUCGGGAGAAAGAAGGCCUCUCUUUGAAGCUUUCGCUAUUAGAUGAGCCUGCGUAAGAUUAGCUUGUUGGUGAGGUAAAGGCUCACCAAGGCGACGAUCUUUAGCGGGUCUGAGAGGACGAUCCGCCACAUUGGGACUGAGACACGGCCCAGACUCCUACGGGAGGCAGCAGUGGGGAAUAUUGGACAAUGGGCGCAAGCCUGAUCCAGCCAUACCGCGUGUGUGAAGAAGGCCCUAGGGUUGUAAAGCACUUUAAGUUGGGAAGAAAAGUUAUUGGUUAAUACCCAAUAACCGUGACAUUACCAUCAGAAUAAGGACCGGCUAAUUCCGUGCCAGCAGCCGCGGUAAUACGGAAGGUCCAAGCGUUAAUCGGAAUUACUGGGCGUAAAGCGCGCGUAGGUGGUUUAUUAAGUUGGAUGUGAAAUCCCCGGGCUCAACCUGGGAACUGCAUCCAAAACUGAUUCACUAGAGUACGAUAGAGGGAGGUAGAAUUCACAGUGUAGCGGUGGAAUGCGUAGAUAUUGUGAAGAAUACCAAUGGCGAAGGCAGCCUCCUGGAUCUGUACUGACACUGAGGUGCGAAAGCGUGGGUAGCGAACAGGAUUAGAUACCCUGGUAGUCCACGCCGUAAACGAUGUCAACUAGCUGUUGGAAAACUAUGUUUUUCAGUGGCGCCGCUAACGUAGUAAGUUGACCGCCUGGGGAGUACGGCCGCAAGGCUAAAACUCAAAUGAAUUGACGGGGACCCGCACAAGCGGUGGAGCAUGUGGUUUAAUUCGAUGCAACGCGAAAAACCUUACCUAUACUUGACAUACUUGGAAUGCUUUGUAAUGAAGCAGUGCCUUCGGGAGCCAAGAUACAGGUGCUGCAUGGCUGUCGUCAGCUCGUGUCGUGAGAUGUUCCGUUAAGUCGGAUAACGAGCGCAACCCUUACCCUUAUUUGCCAGCGAUUCGGUCGGGAACUAUAAGGGGACUGCCGGUGAUAAACCGGAGGAAGGUGAGGACGACGUCAAGUCAUCAUGGCCCUUACGUAUAGGGCUACACACGUGCUACAAUGGAGAAUACAGACGGACGCUAAGCCGCGAGGUGGUGCUAAUCCUAGAAAAUUCUUCGUAGUCCGGAUUGGAGUCUGCAACUCGACUCCAUGAAGUCGGAAUCGCUAGUAAUCGCGAAUCAGCAUGUCGCGGUGAAUACGUUCUCGGGUCU
rnacentral:rRNA from 1 species